CCUACGGGAGGCAGCAGUGAGGAAUAUUGGUCAAUGGACGAGAGUCUGAACCAGCCAAGUAGCGUGAAGGAUGACUGCCCUAUGGGUUGUAAACUUCUUUUAUAAAGGAAUAAAACGUGGCACGUGUGCCUUUUUGCAUGUCCUUUAUCAAUAAGGAUCCGCUAACUCCGUGACAGCAGCCGCGGUAAUACGGAGGAUCCGAGCGUUAUCCGGAUUUAUUGGGUUUAAAGGGAGCGUAGAUGGGUUGUUAAGUCAGUUGUGAAAGUUUGCGGCUCAACCGUAAAAUUGCAAUGGAUACUGGCAGUAUUGAGUACAGGUGAGGUAGGCGGAAUUCGUGGUGUAGCGGUGAAAUGCUUAGAUAUCACGAAGAACCCCGAUUGCGAAGGCAGCUUACUAAACUGUGACUGACAUUGAUGCUCGAAAGUGUGGGUAUCAAACAGGAUUAGAUACCCUGGUAGUC
rnacentral:rRNA from 1 species